rnacentral:rRNA from 1 species
AUUGAACGCUGGCGGCAUGCUUUACACAUGCAAGUCGGACGGCAGCACAGAGAAGCUUGCUUCUUGGGUGGCGAGUGGCGAACGGGUGAGUAACAUAUCGGAACGUACCGAGUAAUGGGGGAUAACUAAUCGAAAGAUUAGCUAAUACCGCAUAUUCUCUGAGGAGGAAAGCAGGGGACCUUCGGGCCUUGCGUUAUUCGAGCGGCCGAUAUCUGAUUAGCUAGUUGGUGGGGUAAAGGCCUACCAAGGCGACGAUCAGUAGCGGGUCUGAGAGGAUGAUCCGCCACACUGGGACUGAGACACGGCCCAGACUCCUACGGGAGGCAGCAGUGGGGAAUUUUGGACAAUGGGCGCAAGCCUGAUCCAGCCAUGCCGCGUGUCUGAAGAAGGCCUUCGGGUUGUAAAGGACUUUUGUCAGGGAAGAAAAGGCUGUUGCUAAUAUCGACAGCUGAUGACGGUACC